CCACUAACAGAAAAAAAAAAAAAAAAAAAAAAAAAAGCAAAACCUUUGCUAUAAAUAAAAAGGCAAUGCAUUAAAGUAUUUGUCUAUUGUAAUAAAGUAUAAACUCAUGACUUCACAAAACUAACCGUAUUGAUGAUUGGUUUAACUCCAUUUUACCCUGGCACUAUCUGAUUUGAAUUAUCUGGUUGAAGAGACAUUAAAAUGAAUACAAUCUCUAUCUUAUACCCAACCAACUCUAAUGUCAGAACACACUAUAAAAAGCCAGAUCUAAAAUUAACAUGAACAUAUGAAGAAUUUUUCAAACCUACAUUUGUAACUAAUUGGAAUUGAAUUGCACUAGUAUUUGGUUACAUUUGUAGAAACAAAAACAUUUCUGACAGAGAAAUGACUCUGAAAAAACACUAAAAAAAAAAUCCAACACAUUACUGCCAACUUAAAACCUGACCAGAGCCUAAGUGAGCAAAAGCUUUCAUUUUGAGUUGCUUUUGAAACCAUGAGCUAAAAGACAAUGAGCAACUUAAAAUAUCAAUGAUCUAAUACAAUCAACACAUAACAACAUAUCUAAUACAUUUGACAUCAACACAUCCAAUGUCUACAUCAUUGCCACAUCAAAUACAUGAAACGUUUUAAGAACAUUUUUUUGUGCUACAUCAGUAAAAACAGUAACAAAUAGAUCUACUUGCACUUUUCACAUUGAAACAAAUCUUUUUCAUUUUCUGAAUACUGUAUUUUAAGUUGUUUCUCAGCACUUAACAAAUCAAUAAAUGAAGUGACUGAAACGUUGUAGAUGUAUUUAAAACCAAAAUGGAAACACUCACAGA